rnacentral:rRNA from 1 species
CUCCUACGGGAGGCAGCAGUGGGGAAUCUUGGACAAUGGGGGAAACCCUGAUCCAGCGAUACCGCGUGUGUGAAGAAGGCCUUCGGGUUGUAAAGCACUUUAAGUGGGGAAGAAAAGUAACCGAGGAAUAUUCGGUUACUUGACGGU